GUCCACGCCCUAAACGAUGUCAACUGGUUGUUGGGAGGGUUUCUUCUCAGUAACGUAGCUAACGCGUGAAGUUGACCGCCUGGGGAGUACGGCCGCAAGGUUGAAACUCAAAGGAAUUGACGGGACCCGCACAAGCGGUGGAUGAUGUGGUUUAAUUCGAUGCAACGCGAAACCUUACCUACCCUUGACAUGCUAGGAAUCCUGAAGAGAUUUGGGAGUGCUCGAAAGAGAACCUAGACACAGGUGCUGCAUGGCCGUCGU
rnacentral:rRNA from 1 species